rnacentral:rRNA from 1 species
UACGGAGGGUGCGAGCGUUAAUCGGAAUUACUGGGCGUAAAGGGCGCGUAGGCGGCCGAUCAAGUCAGGUGUGAAAGCCCACGGCUUAACCGUGUGAAGUGCAUCUGAAACUGGUCGGCUUGAGUAUCGGAGAGGAAAGUGGAAUUCCCGGUGUAGAGGUGAAAUUCGUAGAUAUCGGGAGGAAUACCGGUGACGAAGGCAGCCCCCUGGGAGUAACACUGACGCUCAUGCACGAAA